UACGGAGGGGGCGAGCGUUGUCCGAAGUUACUGGGCGUAAAGCGCGCGUAGGCGGGUUGGUAAGUCCGCUGUGAAAGCCCGGAGCUUAACUCCGGAGGGUCGGUGGAUACUGCCAGUCUUGAAGGUGCUAGGGGGAGAUGGAAUUACCGGUGUAGCGGUGAAAUGCGUAGAUAUCGGUGGGAACACCAGUGGCGAAGGCGGUCUCCUGGGGCAUUCUUGACGCUGAGGCGCGAAAGCUGGGGGAGCAAACGGG
rnacentral:rRNA from 1 species